rnacentral:rRNA from 1 species
GACGUAGGGCGCGAGCGUUGUCCGGAUUUAUUGGGCGUAAAGAGCUCGUAGGCGGCUUGUUGCGUCGACCGUGAAAACCCGGGGCUCAACUUCGGGCUUGCGGUCGAUACGGGCGGGCUAGAGUUCGGUAGGGGAGACUGGAAUUCCUGGUGUAGCGGUGAAAUGCGCAGAUAUCAGGAGGAACACCGGUGGCGAAGGCGGGUCUCGUGGCAUUAACUGACGCUGAGGAGCGGAAAGCAUGGGGAGCGAACAGG